GGACGACGGCUGGCGGCGUGCCUAACACAUGCAAGUCGAGCGGGGUUGAAGCGAGGGGUAACUCGAGUUUCUACCUAGCGGCGGACGGGUGAGUAACGCGUGGGCAACCUGCCUCAAGGACUGGGAUAACAGCUCGAAAGGGCUGCUAAUACCGGAUAAGCCUAUGGCCUCGCAUGGGGCCAUGAGCAAAGGGGAAACCCGCCUUGAGAUGGGCCCGCGUCCCAUCAGCUAGUUGGUGAGGUGAAGGCUCACCAAGGCGACGACGGGUAGCCGGCCUGAGAGGGUGACCGGCCACACUGGGACUGAGACACGGCCCAGACUCCUACGGGGGGCAGCAGUGGGGAAUCUUGCACAAUGGGCGAAAGCCUGAUGCAGCGACGCCGCGUGAGCGAAGAAGGCCUUCGGGUUGUAAAGCUCUUUUGUACGGGAAGAUAAUGACGGUACUGUACGAAUAAGUCCCGGCUAACUACGUG
rnacentral:rRNA from 1 species